rnacentral:rRNA from 1 species
UACGUAGGGUCCGAGCGUUGUCCGGAAUUACUGGGCGUAAAGAGCUCGUAGGUGGUUUGUCGCGUUGUUCGUGAAAACUCACAGCUCAACUGUGGGCGUGCGGGCGAUACGGGCAGACUGGAGUACUGCAGGGGAGACUGGAAUUCCUGGUGUAGCGGUGGAAUGCGCAGAUAUCAGGAGGAACACCGGGGCGAAGGCGGGUCUCUGGGCAGUAACUGACGCUGAGGAGCGAAAGCGUGGGGAGCGAACAGG